rnacentral:rRNA from 1 species
GACGAACGCUGGCGGCGUGCUUAACACAUGCAAGUCGAACGGAAAGGCCCUGCUUUUGUGGGGUGCUCGAGUGGCGAACGGGUGAGUAACACGUGAGUAACCUGCCCUUGACUUUGGGAUAACUUCAGGAAACUGGGGCUAAUACCGGAUAGGAGCUCCUGCUUCAUGGUGGGGGUUGGAAAGUUUCGGCGGUUGGGGAUGGACUCGCGGCUUAUCGGCUUGUUGGUGGGGUAGUGGCUUACCAAGGCUUUGACGGGUAGCCGGCCUGAGAGGGUGACCGGCCACAUUGGGACUGAGAUACGGCCCAGACUCCUACGGGAGGCAGCAGUGGGGAAUAUUGCACAAUGGGCGGAAGCCUGAUGCAGCAACGCCGCGUGCGGGAUGACGGCCUUCGGGUUGUAAACCGCUUUCGCCUGUGACGAAGCGUGAGUGACGGUAAUGGGUAAAGAAGCACCGGCUAACUACGUG